CUCCCAGCCCGGGAAGGUCAGCGUGUGGGCAGCCCGGCCCGCGCCCCUGCGCCCACUGAGGCUUCCUGCCGGCCCUCUAGUCCCCGCCUGCCCAGCGCUCGGCCGCGACGCCCCGGCGCCGGCUCUCCCAGCCCAGCCGGCAGGACGCGCCCGGGAGCCCCGCACGCGAGCUGCCGGCUCUUUGUUUGGGGGUUUGCCUCUCUGCGAUUCAGAGCACGCGGAGGGAAUUAAGUCAGAGUCCGAGGCAGCUGUGCGGUUGCCGGGGGGAUCCCUAAGGGGGGCGGGGCAAAAGGACGGACUAGUAGGGCGGUGGAGCGGCUUUCAAACUCCCCGCGCUCCGCAGCUCCCCGCUUAGGUCUCCCUGCCCUUUACGUUUGUCGGCCCCUGGGAGAGGUUGGCCUUUGGGGGUUUCCAGGGACCCUAGGGACAAGCCUGUCUGAUAAGAGAGAGGUUCUCCAUCCCCCUUCCUCACCAGCCCCCAUCACUGCCGUGUCCCUCUUAGAGUCCUGUGGAGCAUCAGCUUUACAUUUCCUGGGCCCCGGGGAGAAUCAAGGUCUCUCUAAUCUGAAGCAAAAAGGAAUAACAGAGAGUAGAGCCCAUCUGUUCCUGCUGAGUCCCUGUGAAGGUGCAAAGCUGGCCCUAACGGGACUGGCCCUAACAGUGGGGCAUGGAUUAUCUAUUUCCCAAAGUAACAAGGGCCUUGUGCUUAUCCAACCGUGUUCUUUUGAAACUUAGCUGCAGUGAGGAAGAUUACCCAUUUACCAGGUUGCUAGAUCAGGGAAGCCACUGGAGGCAGGGGACGCUGACAAAGCCACUGUACCGGGAGCACCAACGUUCUAAAUACCCCAGCUGGCUGCUGAGAAGGGCUUCGCGGGGGGCCACACAGGAAGGAGAUGAUUCCAAUAGUCCCGUGAGAUGAGGACCUUAACUGGGGGAUGAAUGCGGAAGCUGCAGCAAAGGAGAGUCUACAGACUGUGUGGUGUAGGAGGAGCACACUGGGGCUGUAACAUUGUGGAAGUCUGGAGGAGAACCUGGAGUGAUGUGACUGAGUUUAGUGUGGAGCAAGUUGGAUUGGAGAAGCAGGCCACCUUCUUCCAGGGGCAGAUAUCCAGCAAAUGCAAUUGGAAGGGUGAUUCUGGAGUUCAUAGGAGAGACUGAGGCAAGGGAUGUCAAUUUUGGAAUCAUCUGGAAAGAAGUUGGGCCGACACAAGAGGUGGAGGGAGAGGGUAGAAAAGGUACAGAGAACAGGGCUGAAGACAGAAUCUAGGUCUACCGAGAAGGAGCCCAUGAAAGGAACGGAAACUAUCAGGAGAAACCAUAAGGGAAGGUCAGGACUGUGCGGGGUGUCAGGACUCAGGAGAAGAGGGAGGUUCAAUGGGGGCCGGGGCCCGGGCUGCAGGGACACCACGGAGGAGGGCGCCCAAGAAAAUAGGUUUAGAUUUAGAAAGAAGGAGAUCUCUGGGCUAGUUCAAGAUAACUAUUUGAGUGGUGGCUUAUAUAAACCAGGUUGCCACUCCUUGGGGCGGGGCAUCUGUAUCUCGGAUCCAAUUGGUUGAUGGGGAGAUACAAAGGUUCACCUCUUUGCUUCCAUUACGGAGGGCCCUGAAGGGCCACCCCAGCUCCAUAGCUUCCCAAGGGAUCCGCCGAGGCCUCUGUGGAAAGCAGCACAGUUAAAGUUCAUUCUCUGCCGAAUCCUGUUUCCCUCACUCUCUCAAGGUGUUGUUCCCAAGAGCACGUCCCAGGAGACCUCCCACAUACCAUCUCCAUCUCUGUGCAGAGUCUGUUUCCUAGAAAUCCAACCGGAGGUACAGGGACACUGAGAAAGGGCGCAGGAAACAAAACUUGGCCUCUAACGGAGCAGUUUAAACAGACAGGGAUGGUUAGAAAGACUCAGAGAAGGUGGUGUGAAGGAAAGAGCCUGGGGAAUGGGGAGCGAAGAGGAAGCUUAUUCGUAGUAGAAGAUGGAUUUUCAAAAGCCGGAUGGAAGAGAGAAGAGUGGAGUAGGCCCGAGGAGGGGAGAAUGCUGGAAGAGGGUAAGGGUGAGGGGAGGUCAGUAUUCACCAAAGUUAAUAACAUUAAAACAGCAAUGAGGAAAGAGAGGGUUGGAAAACGGCCUGGAGUGACUUUCUAGCAGUAGGAGAGGGUGAGUGAUGAAUGAAGCUCUGGGCUAGGGUAGUCCCUCUCCAGCAGUAUCCCCAGUAACAUUAAACGUUUACAGUGGAGAACCAAUGGAAAUAUAAUAUGUAAUUAAAAAUUUUCCGUGAGCCACGUUUAAAAAAAAAAAUCAAUAUAAAGAAACAGGUGAAAGUAAUUGUAAUGAUAUAUUUUAUUUAACACAGUAUAUCUAAAAUAUCAUUUCAGCGUGUGUCAAUAUGAAAAAUCAACGAUAAGAUAUUUUACAUUUUUUCCUACUAAGUCUUCCAACUCUGGUUAUAUUUUAUGUGUAUUGCACAUCUACAUGCAAACACUACAUUUUCAUUGGAAAUAUUCAGUGUGUAUUUAGAUUUCAUAACGUUUUGGUUGAGGAAAUAGAUUUACAAGCCUACGUUGUUAUAUACAUACUUAGCUUUCCAACAAUAAAAUCAAAUGAUCAGUUUUUAAAUUUGUUUAUAUUAAUUAAAAUUAAAUGAAAUAAUCCAGCCCUUCAGUUGCAUGUGGCACAUCUCAAGUGCUCAGUAGCCACAUGUGGCUAGUGGCUACCAUAUCAGACCACAUAGGCCUAGAAUUCUAAUUCCUAGACUUUUUGAUUUUGGCUUUCUUUUGUCCUUACCUUUUAUGAAGGAAUUGGCCUCUUCUACCAGCACUGCACCAUUAACAAGAUCCUAACCUAUUCCAUGUUAUUUCACAAAACAUACUUGAAGAAGGUGAGGGGGAAGAAUGAGAAUCCACCAUCUAUGAAAAUGGAGAUGGGAAUUCAGCUUGGACUAGAAAAGGUAGCACACUGCUAAUCCUCUCUCAUCUUCUCCAGGAAGCUUUCUAAAGCCUGCUUCUGUAAGGUUCUCUGGACCCAAAGUCACAUACUGGGAAGGAAGAGAAGCCUUUGGAUAAACAUCAUGAAUUUUCCUGGAGCAACUGUUCUAUUUAAGAUUUUAUAUAAUAUUUUUUGGAAAGAAGGGAAUAGGUUUUAAAAAAUAUUUUCAAAAGUGUAACAUCCAUCUAUGCUCAUUUUAGACAAUUUGAUCAGUAUAAAAUAUUAAAUAAGAACGUUAAAAACCACUUGGACUCUUACCUAUCAUAAAUAACCACUGUAUUACUGGAUUUUGGUGAAUAUCUUUUAAUUGUGUGUGUUUGUGAGUAUGUGUUUGUAAUCAGAUUUUUUUAAAUUUGAGGCUAUAUUCUAGUCAGCUUUUUAUGUCAAUGGAUUUAAGAAUAUGUUACAUCACUUUAAAUGUAAUGUAUGGAUAUACCACAAUUUAUUUAACUAAUACCCUAUUAAUGAAUAUUUAAGAUGUUUUCUUUUCUUUUUUUUUUGAGAUAAAGUCUCACUCUGUUGCCCAGGCUGGAGUGCAGUGGCGUGAUCUGGGCUCACUGCAACCUCCACCUCCUGAGUUCAAGUUGAUUCUCCUGCUCAGCCUCCCGAGUAGCUGGGAUUACAGACACGCACCACCAUGCCCAGCUAAUUUUUGUAUUUUUAGUAGAGACAGGGUUUCACCAUGUUGGCCAGGCUGAGCUUGAACUCCUGACCUCAGAAGAUCCGCCCACCUAGGCCUCCCAAAGUGCUGGGAUUACAGGCGUGAGCCACGCUUCCAGCCAGGAUGUUUUCAAUGAAAAAAGAUUUUUGAUGAUGUUGUUAUGAAACAUUCUUUAAUAUAUAUACUUGCCUACUUAUUCAAUUAUUUCUUUAUGGCAAAUUCCUACAAAAUGAGUCACAGAAAGUAUUUAUUUUGGUAGCUGAACACACACACACGCUCGUAUAGAUAUAUUCACACAUACACAUACACACAUGUAUACAUACGUAUGUAUGUGUAUAUAUAGACCUAUUCACAUGUACACACAUAUAUACAUACAUAUGUAUGUGUACAUAUAUAUAUAUAAAGUCAAAAAUGUUUUAAACUUAAAUAUGGUUGUUACUUCUUGAGAAGAGACUGGGAUUGGGGAUGCAGUCAGAGGAAUUUGACCAAACCUAUAAUCUUUUAGUUUUUUCACAGGGAGAAAAUAUAUGUAUAACUUAAAAUUAGUUAAAAUUAAGGGUAACAAUAACCAAAAAUGGACAAGAUAAAGUAGUUAUCAAGUGGCAAUCACACAUCAUUGCAAAUAAAAUGAUCUGCUUCCUUUUGCUGAAAAUACUUAACGGUAACUACUGGAAGAAUAGAAAUACGAUAUGUAAAUGUUAAACUGCUGAAAGAAAAAAACAAAGGGAACCAGGACACCUAAAACCUUGAUUAAUCCAACAAAAGUAAGAAAUGAAAAAAUUAAAAGAAACAACAAGAAAGCGCAUAACUAAAAAGUACAAGCAUGUGGACAAAUAUGUCCAAAUAUGCCAAUAUUUGGAAUUAAUAUGAUUUGGUUAAUGUGUCUAUUAAAAGAUGGCAACUCUCUGGAUAACAAAACCAAAUGCAGUUAUAUGUUACUUAAAAGGGACACACAUGAAAAAAUGACACAAAGUUUCAAAAUAAAGGAGUGGAAAAGAUGUAUUAACUAAGGAAAUGCUGGCACCAAGAAGUAGAUAUGCCAAUAUUAAUAUAAGAUAAAAUGAAUCCAAAGCCCAAAGAAUUCAUGGUCACAGAAGACUAUUUAUUUAUUUCUUUAUUUAGAGAUGGGGUCUUGCUCUGUCACCCAGGCUGGAGUGCAGUGGCAUGAUCUUGGCUCACUGCAAUCUCCAUCUCCCAGGUUCAAGCAAUUCUCCUGCCUCAGCCUCCCAAGUAGCUGGGAUUACAGGUGUAUGCCACCAUGCCCAGCUAAUUUUGUAUUUUUAGUAGAGACGGGGUUUCUCCAUGUUGGCCAGGCUGGCCUCGAACUCCUGACCUCAAGUGAUCUGCCCGCCUUGGCCUCCCAAAGUGCUGGGACUACAGGCGUGAGCCACCGUGCCUGGCCAAAGAAGACUUUUUUUUAUUUUGUUCGUGUCCACCCAUGAACCUUUGUGCAUAGCUCCAAAAUGUAUAAAGCAAAGAUGAUAGGACAAGUAGACAAAAAAUAACCCAAGGAUUGAGAGGUGCACUUUCCAAUAUAGUAGCCACUAGCCACACAGUAUAGCCAGUAGUCACUAGGUUAUUUAAUACUUCAAAUAUGGCUAAUCCACGUUGAAAUGUGCUAUAAAGUGUAAAACAUACAUUGGAUUUCAAAGACUUGGUAUGAAAAAAUAAAGUAAAAUAGCUCGAAUAUUUUAAAUAUUGAUUAUAUUUUGAAAAGAUCAUACUUUAGAUAUGAGUUAAAUAAAAUCUAUUAAAAUUAUGAGAACUUAUGAACACAAAGAAGGAAACAACGACACUGGGGUCUUCUUGAGGGUGGAGGUUGGGAGGAGGGAGAGGAGCAGAAAAGAUAAAUAUUGGGUAGUGAGCUUAAUUCCUGGGUGAUGAAAUGAUCUGUAUGACAAACCUCUGUGACAUGAGUUUAUAUAUGUAACACACCUUCACAUGUACCCUCAAACCUACAAUAAAAGUUAAAAAAGAUUGCAACCUAAAAUAAAUGGAUAAAUAAAAUCUGUUAAAAUUAA